AUUCCAGCUCCAAUAGCGUAUAUUAAAGUUGUUGCAGUUAAAAAGCUCGUAGUUGGAUUUGUGGUUCGUCCCGCUGGCUGGGUCUUUGACUUUUGCUGUGCUGGUCGUCCAUCCUUGGGUGGAAUCUGUGUGGCAUUAGGUUGUCGCGCAGGGGAUGCCCAUCGUUUACUGUGAAAAAAUUAGAGUGUUCAAAGCAGGCUUAUGCCGUUGAAUAUAUUAGCAUGGAAUAAUGAUAUAGGACCUUGGUACUAUUUUGUUGGUUUGCGCACUGAGGUAAUGAUUAAUAGGGACAGUUGGGGGUAUUCGUAUUCCAUUGUAAGAGGUGAAAUUCUUGGAUUUUUGGAAGACGAACUACUGCGAAAGCAUUUACCAAGGAUGUUUUCAUCA
rnacentral:rRNA from 1 species